ACCCACAUUGAUGAGUUUGUUCACUUCAGCUUCAAUUAGAGGAACUAAUUCUGGUCGGAAUCGGCGCUGGGCCUGCUUGACUGGUCGUGCAUCCUUUCUAACGGCUAAAUGAUGAACAGCUAUCUUGGAGCUCAACCCCGGCAUUUCCUUAUAAGACCAUGCAAAGAUGUCUUUGAAUUCUUUGAGCAAUUCGAUAUAUGAGUAUUCCUCAUCAACGGUCAGCAACGCGCUGAUGUAAGUGGGUCGUGGAUCUUCAAUAGUGCCCAAAUUAAUUUCUCUCAAUUCAUCAACAGUAGCCUUAACUCCUUCUUCAAACUGUUGAGGAGCUAUUUCAGCGUCUUCUUCUUCGACAACCACUUCUUCACAUGAGGUGAUAUGGUUUGAUGUAACAACAUCUUCGCGACGCACUUG
rnacentral:lncRNA from 1 species